rnacentral:rRNA from 1 species
GGGUUGUGAGGUUAAGCGACUAAGCGUACACGGUGGAUGCCCUGGCAGUCAGAGGCGAUGAAGGACGUGCUAAUCUGCGAUAAGCGUCGGUAAGGUGAUAUGAACCGUUAUAACCGGCGAUUUCCGAAUGGGGAAACCCAGUGUGUUUCGACACACUAUCAUUAACUGAAUCCAUAGGUUAAUGAGGCGAACCGGGGGAACUGAAACAUCUAAGUACCCCGAGGAAAAGAAAUCAACCGAGAUUCCCCCAGUAGCGGCGAGCGAACGGGGAGCAGCCCAGAGCCUGAAUCAGUGUGUGUGUUAGUGGAAGCGUCUGGAAAGGCGCGCGAUACAGGGUGACAGCCCCGUACACAAAAAUGCACAUGCUGUGAGCUCGAUGAGUAGGGCGGGACACGUGGUAUCCUGUCUGAAUAUGGGGGGACCAUCCUCCAAGGCUAAAUACUCCUGACUGACCGAUAGUGAACCAGUACCGUGAGGGAAAGGCGAAAAGAACCCCGGCGAGGGGAGUGAAAAAGAACCUGAAACCGUGUACGUACAAGCAGUGGGAGCACGCUUAGGCGUGUGACUGCGUACCUUUUGUAUAAUGGGUCAGCGACUUAUAUUCUGUAGCAAGGUUAACCGAAUAGGGGAGCCGAAGGGAAACCGAGUCUUAACUGGGCGUUAAGUUGCAGGGUAUAGACCCGAAACCCGGUGAUCUAGCCAUGGGCAGGUUGAAGGUUGGGUAACACUAACUGGAGGACCGAACCGACUAAUGUUGAAAAAUUAGCGGAUGACUUGUGGCUGGGGGUGAAAGGCCAAUCAAACCGGGAGAUAGCUGGUUCUCCCCGAAAGCUAUUUAGGUAGCGCCUCGUGAAUUCAUCUCCGGGGGUAGAGCACUGUUUCGGCAAGGGGGUCAUCCCGACUUACCAACCCGAUGCAAACUGCGAAUACCGGAGAAUGUUAUCACGGGAGACACACGGCGGGUGCUAACGUCCGUCGUGAAGAGGGAAACAACCCAGACCGCCAGCUAAGGUCCCAAAGUCAUGGUUAAGUGGGAAACGAUGUGGGAAGGCCCAGACAGCCAGGAUGUUGGCUUAGAAGCAGCCAUCAUUUAAAGAAAGCGUAAUAGCUCACUGGUCGAGUCGGCCUGCGCGGAAGAUGUAACGGGGCUAAACCAUGCACCGAAGCUGCGGCAGCGACGCUUAUGCGUUGUUGGGUAGGGGAGCGUUCUGUAAGCCUGUGAAGGUGUGCUGUGAGGCAUGCUGGAGGUAUCAGAAGUGCGAAUGCUGACAUAAGUAACGAUAAAGCGGGUGAAAAGCCCGCUCGCCGGAAGACCAAGGGUUCCUGUCCAACGUUAAUCGGGGCAGGGUGAGUCGACCCCUAAGGCGAGGCCGAAAGGCGUAGUCGAUGGGAAACAGGUUAAUAUUCCUGUACUUGGUGUUACUGCGAAGGGGGGACGGAGAAGGCUAUGUUGGCCGGGCGACGGUUGUCCCGGUUUAAGCGUGUAGGCUGGUUUUCCAGGCAAAUCCGGAAAAUCAAGGCUGAGGCGUGAUGACGAGGCACUACGGUGCUGAAGCAACAAAUGCCCUGCUUCCAGGAAAAGCCUCUAAGCAUCAGGUAACAUCAAAUCGUACCCCAAACCGACACAGGUGGUCAGGUAGAGAAUACCAAGGCGCUUGAGAGAACUCGGGUGAAGGAACUAGGCAAAAUGGUGCCGUAACUUCGGGAGAAGGCACGCUGAUAUGUAGGUGAGGUCCCUCGCGGAUGGAGCUGAAAUCAGUCGAAGAUACCAGCUGGCUGCAACUGUUUAUUAAAAACACAGCACUGUGCAAACACGAAAGUGGACGUAUACGGUGUGACGCCUGCCCGGUGCCGGAAGGUUAAUUGAUGGGGUUAGCGCAAGCGAAGCUCUUGAUCGAAGCCCCGGUAAACGGCGGCCGUAACUAUAACGGUCCUAAGGUAGCGAAAUUCCUUGUCGGGUAAGUUCCGACCUGCACGAAUGGCGUAAUGAUGGCCAGGCUGUCUCCACCCGAGACUCAGUGAAAUUGAACUCGCUGUGAAGAUGCAGUGUACCCGCGGCAAGACGGAAAGACCCCGUGAACCUUUACUAUAGCUUGACACUGAACAUUGAGCCUUGAUGUGUAGGAUAGGUGGGAGGCUUAGAAGUGUGGACGCCAGUCUGCAUGGAGCCGACCUUGAAAUACCACCCUUUAAUGUUUGAUGUUCUAACGUUGACCCGUAAUCCGGGUUGCGGACAGUGUCUGGUGGGUAGUUUGACUGGGGCGGUCUCCUCCUAAAGAGUAACGGAGGAGCACGAAGGUUGGCUAAUCCUGGUCGGACAUCAGGAGGUUAGUGCAAUGGCAUAAGCCAGCUUGACUGCGAGCGUGACGGCGCGAGCAGGUGCGAAAGCAGGUCAUAGUGAUCCGGUGGUUCUGAAUGGAAGGGCCAUCGCUCAACGGAUAAAAGGUACUCCGGGGAUAACAGGCUGAUACCGCCCAAGAGUUCAUAUCGACGGCGGUGUUUGGCACCUCGAUGUCGGCUCAUCACAUCCUGGGGCUGAAGUAGGUCCCAAGGGUAUGGCUGUUCGCCAUUUAAAGUGGUACGCGAGCUGGGUUUAGAACGUCGUGAGACAGUUCGGUCCCUAUCUGCCGUGGGCGCUGGAGAACUGAGGGGGGCUGCUCCUAGUACGAGAGGACCGGAGUGGACGCAUCACUGGUGUUCGGGUUGUCAUGCCAAUGGCACUGCCCGGUAGCUAAAUGCGGAAGAGAUAAGUGCUGAAAGCAUCUAAGCACGAAACUUGCCCCGAGAUGAGUUCUCCCUGACUCCUUGAGAGUCCUGAAGGAACGUUGAAGACGACGACGUUGAUAGGCCGGGUGUGUAAGCGCAGCGAUGCGUUGAGCUAACCGGUACUAAUGAACCGUGAGGCUUAACCUUACAACGCCGAAGCUGUU